rnacentral:rRNA from 1 species
UACGUAGGAGGCAAGCGUUGUCCGGAAUUACUGGGUGUAAAGCGCGUGUAGGUGGUGGGCCAAGUCUGUGGUGAAAUCGCCCGGCUCAACUGGGCGGGGUCCGUGGAAACUGGUCGACUGGAGGACGGUAGAGGCGAGUGGAAUUCCCGGUGUAGUGGUGAAAUGCGUAGAUAUCGGGAGGAACACCUGAGGCGAAGGCGGGCUACUGGGCCGAUACUGACGCUGAUGCGCGAAAGCCAGGGGAGCGAACGGG